rnacentral:rRNA from 1 species
ACUUUAACCCACUUAGGGGAACCUGUCCUUUAAUUCGAUAAUCCACGACAAUCUUAUUUAUUUUAGAACUUUUCAGCUUGUAUACCGUCGUCAUAAGUUAACCUUAAAAAGAAAAAAAGUUAACAAUAAAGAUAAAUUACUUAAAAAUUUCUCACAGGUCAGAUCAAGGUGCAGCUCAUAAAUAAAGAAGGAGAUGGGUUACAGUUAAUAAAUUCUAAUAGAAUCUUCAUAGAAAAAUGAAAAAUAAAAUAGGACUUAAAAGUAAUUAGUGAUAACAAACACUAAUGAAUAAGGAAAUAAAGUGUGU